UACGUAGGGUCCGAGCGUUGUCCGGAAUUACUGGGCGUAAAGAGCUCGUAGGUGGUUUGUCGCGUCUGCCGUGAAAGCCCAUGGCUCAGCCUUGGAAGUGCGCUCGAAACGGCGAGGCUGGAGUGCCGGAGGGGAGAGUGGAAUUCCCGGUGUAGCGGUGAAAUGCGUAGAGAUCGGGAGGAAUACCGGUGGCGAAAGCGGGUCUCUGGGCCGAUACUGACGCUGAGGAGCGAAAGCGUGGGGAGCGAACAGG
rnacentral:rRNA from 1 species